GGCACCCUGCCGUGCCAACUUAUUCUAAAAUUGGAACGAUACAGAGAAUAUUAGCGUGGCCCUUGCGCAAGGAUGGCACGCACAAAUCGAGAAGUGUAACCAACCUUU
rnacentral:snRNA from 1 species